GGGCCCGCACAAGCGGUGGAGCAUGUGGUUCAAUUCGACGCAACGCGAAGAACCUUACCUGGGCUUGACAUGCUGGUAGUAGAAACCUGAAAAGGCGACGAGCCCCGCAAGGGGAAGCCAGCACAGGUGCUGCAUGGCUGUCGUCAGCUCGUGCCGUGAGGUGUUGGGUUAAGUCCCGCAACGAGCGCAACCCUCGCCCUUAGUUGCCAGCGGGUAAUGCCGGGCACUCUAAGGGAACUGCCCGUGAUAAACGGGAGGAAGGUGAGGAUGACGUCAAGUCCUCAUGGCCUUUAUGCCCAGGGCCACACACGUGCUACAAUGGCCGGUACAAAGGGUCGCGAACCCGUAAGGGGGAGCCAAUCCCAAAAAACCGGUCUCAGUUCAGAUUGGGGUCUGCAAUUCGACCCCAUGAAGUCGGAAUCGCUAGUAAUCGCGGAUCAGCACGCCGCGGUGAAUACGUUCCCGGGCCUU
rnacentral:rRNA from 1 species